UACGUAGGGUGCAAGCGUUGUCCGGAAUUAUUGGGCGUAAAGAGCUCGUAGGCGGUUUGUCGCGUCUGCUGUGAAAACUGGAGGCUCAACCUCCAGCCUGCAGUGGGUACGGGCAAACUAGAGUGCGGUAGGGGGAGAUUGGAAUUCCUGGUGUAGCGGUGGAAUGCGCAGAUAUCAGGAAGAACACCAAUGGCGAAAGCAGCUUUCUGGGACGGUACUGACGCUGAGACGCGAAAGCGUGGGGAGCGAACAGG
rnacentral:rRNA from 1 species